ACAAGUACUCCACUUUGGCGUAAUGGACCUCCAGAAAAGCCAAUACUGUGCAACGCAUGUGGAUCUCGGUGGAGAACAAAAGGGACUUUGGCGAACUAUACUCCUCUGCAUGCAAGAGCAGAACCUUGUGACUUUGAGGAACACAGGGUUUCACGGUUCAAAAACAUUUCAAUGAAGAACAAAGAGGCAAAGAUUUUGAAACGAAAGCAAAGUCAUCAUGAUGCUGAAGUUGGAACUCCUGAUUAUAGUCUAGGUUUCCGUAAGGUCUUAGAUGAAGAUACUAGCAAUAGAUCAAGUUCUGGCUCUGCUAUCUCAAACUCUGAGAGCUGUGCACAGUUUGGUAGUGCUGAAGCUAGUGAUUUGACAGGUCCAGCGCAAUCCAAUAUAUGGGAUUCAACGGUGCCUUCAAGGAAGAGAACCUGUUUCAAUCGUCCAAAGCCAUCUUCAGUAGAAAAGCUCACUAAAGACCUAUAUACCAUUUUACAUGAACAACAAAGUUCAUACUUGUCUGCAUCCUCUGAGGAGGAGUUGCUUUUUGAGAGUGACAAGCCUAUGGUUUCUGUUGAAAUAGGACAUGGAAGUGUACUAAUGCGGUAUCCUAGUACAAUAGGUAGAGAAGAAGAAUCGGAAGCCAGCUCUCUUUCCGUUGACAACAAGCACCGUUCUGUCAGUGAUGCUUAUUCACGAUUGACUACCCCUCCUGUAAAUAUUAGUAAGGGUGUCAAUUCACCAAAUAUGGGUACGGAGAGAAUCAAGAAACCUACUGGUCCAGCUAUAGAACAAGACCAGAUUAAAAGAAACAAGGAUCACCUUGAGAAACUACAAAUUCUUGGACAUCAUAAUUCACCCCUUCGCUAUUUAGACCUGAAGGAUGUACUUAAUUAUGAAGAAUUCACGACUCAUUUGUCAAGUGAUGAACAACAGCAACUACUGAAGUACUUACCACCUGUUGAUUCUUUUGCGCCUCCAGAUAGUCUUAGAAGCGUGUUCGAGAGCUCUCAAUUCGAGGAGAACCUCUGUUCCUUCCAGAAACUUCUUGCAGAAGGUGUUUUCGAUA
rnacentral:misc_RNA from 1 species